AAGUAAGAUUGAUGUACAGCCAGGUCAAAACGUACUGAAACUCAUACAGGAUUGUUUUGAAAGUUGCAGCAGUGAUCUUACAAUAAACUCUCCAAAUGCAACCCUUUGCUCAGCUCCUGUUGUCAAAAAUAGGAAGAGGACUUCAAUGCAGAGCCAAAGCCCAAAGGCAGGAUCAACCAACUCUGUGAAAAGAGCCUGUUAUUCUCCAGAAUCCUCACCUACAUCACUGCUAAAACCAGUCAGCAGCAGAGGU